rnacentral:rRNA from 1 species
CCUACUGGUGGCAGCAGUGGGGAAUAUUGCACAAUGGGGGGAACCAUGAUGCAGCGACGCCGCGUGAGUGAAGAAGUAUCUCGGUACGUAAAGCUCUAUCAGCAGGGAAGAACAUGACGGUACCUGACUAAGAAACCCCGGCUAACUACGUGCCCGCAGCCGCGGUAAUACGUAGGGGGCAAGCGGUCUCCGGAUUUACUGGGUGUACAGGGAGCGUAGACGGCACUGCAAGUCCGGAGUGAAAGCCCAAGGCUUAACCAUGGGACUGCUCUGGAAACUGUGGAGCUUGAGUGCGGGAGGGGCAGGCGGAAGUCCUAGUGUAGCGGUGGAAUGCGUAGAUAGUAGGAGGAACACCGGCGGCGAAGGCGGCCUGCUGGACCGUAACUGACGUUGAGGCUCGAAAGCGUGGGGAGCAAACAGGAUUAGAUACCCGGGUAGUC